rnacentral:misc_RNA from 1 species
ACCUACUGUUUAAUUUUGAGGGUUCGUUUUUACGAAUACUCAAAAUUAGCACUUUAAGCAACAGAAUAAACUGAACGCAUGUGAAGUUUGUUUGUUGGCGCUGUGCGUUAGCACUUUAAGCAACGGAAUUUAUUCGUUGGCGCUGUGCUUUAGCACUUUGAAAACUGCAUAUAUAUUUAGUGAUAUGACAUCUAAUUUGUAAUAUAUAAAGCUGAUAACUUUUUAAAAUUAUCGAAGUUGAUAGCUUCUAAUCUAUCAAACCUUUUUAACUGGUCAA